GUGUAGAGAAAAGAAAGAAUUUUUUUUUUCCUUUUUCUUCCUCUUAACCCCCACGCGAGACCACCCUUUUUCCCUCAACUCGUUCCUCAGCGUAGCGGUACGUGGUUCGGCAGGUCGCUGGCCGUUUGAACGUCGACGCCUCCUCACGGUGGCCAUCCGCGCCGCUCACGCCUCAGCCCAGCUACCCGCACCGCUCGCCGCUCAACCUCUGCUUUUUGCUAGCCACAUAGCCUGCCGACUCUUUCUGCCAGCCGAGUUUCUUCAAUUUUUCAUUCCCAUUCUUAUCGUCCGCCAGUUGCCGACCUCUUCCGUUUUGCCAGGAACUUGGAAUUUUUUGUUUCAAGACAUUUUUGGUACUAUCUAGCAGCAUCAAAGAUCGCUUUGGGCGCCUUUUGAAUUGAGUUUUGAAACCCUUCAGUUUGCUUAUGACUGGAUUGGAUUCGUACUUGAAGCUCAGUUGUAGUUUUGGUUAAGUCGACAUUUUGGGUAAGUGGUAUGGAGACUUUUGAUUGUGCUUUUCGAGUGAGUUAGGUUAUGUUUAUAAGGAUUGACAUUAAAUUGGUUUAUUCUAGGGCGAUUCAAGCAUUUGACUCAAGUCAAAGAGGGAUUUGAUUGAUAGUUGGAGUUUUGUUUGCUAUUUGUUCAACAUAAAUUCGGGAUAAAUGAUUUACUAUCGGUUUGCCCUCAAACCCAAGCAUGUAUUACGUAUUGGUCCCUACGUUAAUAUGAGAUAUCUUGAUAUGCCUAUUGGACAGUUGAAAAUUUUGGUAACUUACGCUUAUGUCAUGGAAUGUUGAUGUUAUGUGUUGUAACAAUGUUUGGCGUAUGGAUAAAUUUUGAAUUGUUAUGUGAUCUUAGCAUGAUUUAAGACCUCGAUUGUAUGCUUAUGACUUUAUGAGAUUGCAGUGAUUGUUGGCACUUCUAUUGGGCUAUGCAUAUCGUAUGUUGUGAGCCUUCGGGCUCACACCUUAUGCUUAUGUAGGAUGUCCCCUUGGGACCACCACUUAUGUUUAUGUUUGUGCUCUCCGGGGUCAUUACUUAUGAAAGCAUGCCUUUAGGUUCGCCUUUUAUGCCUAUGUUUAUGCCUACGCCUAUGAUGUCCUUGUGCAUUUCUGUCCUAAUGGAAAGGCUAACAGAUCAUUGAGUGGGCCCAGUAAUGGGUCGCCUAUUGAGUAUACUUUUAUACUCAUCCUUUUCCUUUCAUGUUUUUCAGGUAAGGGCAAAGAUAGACCGGUGCAUGACAAGAGAGAUCCAUGACCUGGCCAUUUAGACAAAUUAUUAGUUCCGCACUUAGGUUUCAUGGACUAGCGUCUAGUUUAGGAGUCAAACAUUUUAAAAUCUUAUGAAAUAUUCCUUGAUUUUAAUUAUUGAUUUAUUUAAUUGUUAUUUAUUUUAAAGUUGGGUUAGAGGUACCCCGAACGGUGUUUUCAUAAUUUCUCUUUUGUAUUUAUUUGAGCUUUAUUUAAUGAAAUAAAAUUUUUAUCUCUUUGAUUUAAUUAUUCUUUGAGAAAUGCAUUGCCACGCCUAUGCAUGCAUAGAGUAGUGUCAUAGAACCAUACUAGAAAUUUGGGUCGUUACAGUUGGAAUUAGAGCUUAAGUUUUAGUUUCUGUAGACUGAAUUACAUCGUGAGUCCAAACUAUUCCAUAUGGACACAAAUGGAUCUCUCGUCAUCACCAGGUAUGUCGUUUAAAGUUCUUUAGGGAAAUAUGUAUGAAAUCUUACCUGUUGUGUAGUCGUUUAAUGGUUUACCCUGCUAGCGUUUAUUAAAGCGUUACGUGCGGUUAUCAGGUAUGGCACCACGAACUAGAGGAAGGGGCAGUCGAGAUAAGAAUAGUUGGGGAGCAGAACUGUGACAUACAAGACUCUGAGGAGCAAAUCAAAGAAGUGCGGGACCCACCACCUCAAGACCCAACUGGGUCAAUCUAGCAAAGGGUUAGACCAAGAAGCGGGCCUCGAACUUCGAUUGUGUCACACCCCGUCCCAAACUACUCUCUAAGCCUAGGAAAGGACAUGACUACAGCAAUUAUCAACCCUUUUGUUGACACUUACUACCUAAUAACUCUUGCGAAAAUUACUUUGAUACUAAUGUACAAAUUCAUAUACAGCGGAUGCCUCUUAGGCCAAAUUUAUUAAGUUUAAAAAAACACAACAUAUUUAGAGUAA